CAGCCGCCGCGGGAAUACGGAGGGAGCUAGCGUUGUUCGGAAUUACUGGGCGUAAAGCGCGCGUAGGCGGUUACUCAAGUCAGAGGUGAAAGCCCGGGGCUCAACCCCGGAACUGCCUUUGAAACUAGGUGACUAGAAUCUUGGAGAGGUCAGUGGAAUUCCGAGUGUAGAGGUGAAAUUCGUAGAUAUUCGGAAGAACACCAGUGGCGAAGGCGACUGACUGGACAAGUAUUGACGCUGAGGUGCGAAAGCGUGGGGAGCAAACAGGAUUAGAUACCCCAGUAGUCCCUGUCUCUUAUAC
rnacentral:rRNA from 1 species